AGCAGCCGCGGUAAUUCCAGCUCCAAUAGCGUAUAUUAAAGUUGUUGCAGUUAAAAGCUCGUAGUUGAAUUUCGGGAUCAAUAUAUCGGUCGUGCCUUUGGUACGUACUGGUAUCAUUGAUUUCUCCUUUCUGACGAAUCAUGAUGUCAUUAAUUUGGUGUUAUGAGGAGUUAGGACUGUUACUUUGAAAAAAUUAGAGUGUUUAAAGCAGGCAUUAGCUUGAAUACAUUAGCAUGGAAUAAUGAAAUAGGACGUUUGACCCUAUUUUGUUGGUUUUUAGGAUCGACGUAAUGAUUAAUAGGGGAUAGUUGGGGGGCAUUAGUAUUCAAUUGUCAGAGGUGAAAUUCUUGGAUUUAUUGAAGACUAACUACUGCGAAAGCAUUUUGCCAAGGAUGUUUUCAUUAAUCAAGAACGAAAGUUAGGGGAUCGAAGACGAUCAGAUACCGUCGUAGUCUUAACCAUAAACUAUGCCGACUAGGGAUCGGAUGAUGUUAAUUUUAUAAUGACUCAUUCGGCGCCU
rnacentral:rRNA from 1 species